AUAUGGGCGCUUUAGACGUUAGACUAUAGCCGUGGGAGGUUGUUUUAACACAAAGUGAUUGGUCUCCCUAAGUAGGAGGAUGAGUUAAAGUGUUCUUUCCUGAGUGUGAAGCAAGUAAGCAGUAUUGCUUUGAUGCAGUUGUUGUCUGUUAUUGAUGAUUUUUCUUUCUUCCCUCUGGUGGUUGUAGAAGGGAAAGAACACAGACUGAGUGGU